GGCAGGCUUUUGAACUCGUAAGUCACGACUUCAAGUCACGAGUUACGACUUUGUAGCGUUCCAGGAAAGUUACGGCAAACUGCCAGUUACUUCCUGUUUAACGUUGAACAUGGCGAACCGUAUGUUUGUGCUUCCCCAAUAUUUCUAUCGUCAAAGGUGCCUGCUCCUUGCUCAUUUGAGCAAAACGGAGGAGGAAGACAGCGCACAAGAUAGCGAUAGAGGAGACAAGAGGAGGAGCAAACUGAGCGCCAAAUGCCAAAUGGCUGCAGACUGGAGCCCCUCGUCUCAUGACCUCUCGUGUCAUGACUUGGGCGUGUACAACAGCAAGUCUACAGGGUCAAAAAUGCAAAUUCGCGAUUUCUUGACACUCUUACCACCAAUAAAUCAAACCGAGAGGAGAAGAAGAAGAAGAAGAAGAAGAUGGCAGUGGCGUUACAGGUUAUGUUGGACGUGGGAAGUUGGGAGAGCUCCGGGGGAUUCAUUCUGAGGAUCCCCACCUUGGAUUAUGCAGCCAGUUCUGCCAGCUGCAGUCUGGAUGUUUUGACUAAAGAAAUAAAAAAAGUUGCA